CAACCUGGAAACAGAUGCUAAUACCGGAUAACAAUAGAUGAUGCCUAUCAACUGUUUAAAAGAUGGUUCUGCUAUCACUCUUGGAUGGACCUGCGGUGCAUUAGCUAGUUGGUAGGGUAACGGCCUACCAAGGCGAUGAUGCAUAGCCGAGUUGAGAGACUGAUCGGCCACAUUGGGACUGAGACACGGCCCAAACUCCUACGGGAGGCAGCAGAC
rnacentral:rRNA from 1 species